rnacentral:rRNA from 1 species
GUGGGGAAUCUUCCGCAAUAGACGAAAGUCUGACGGAGCAACGCCGCGUGAGUGAUGAAGGUCUUCGGAUUGUAAAGCUCUGUUAAUCGGGACGAAAGAGCCUAGUGUGAAUAAUGCUAGGAAGUGACGGUACCGGAAUAGAAAGCCACGGCUAACUACGUGCCAGCAGCCGCGGUAAUACGUAGGUGGCAAGCGUUGUCCGGAAUUAUUGGGCGUAAAGCGCGCGUAGGCGGAUCUGCCAGUCUGUCUUAAAAGUUCGGGGCUUAACCCCGUGAUGGGAUGGAAACUACAGAUCUAGAGUAUCGGAGAGGAAAGUGGAAUUCCUAGUGUAGCGGUGAAAUGCGUAGAUAUUAGGAAGAACACCAGUGGCGAAGGCGACUUUCUGGACGAAAACUGACGCUGAGGCGCGAAAGCCAGGGGAGCGAACGGGAUUAGAAACCCUGGUAGUCC